GACGAACGCUGGCGGCGUGCUUAACACAUGCAAGUCGAACGGAAAGGCCCUGCUUUUGUGGGGUGCUCGAGUGGCGAACGGGUGAGUAACACGUGAGUAACCUGCCCUUGACUUUGGGAUAACUUCAGGAAACUGGGGCUAAUACCGGAUAGGAGCUCCUGCUGCAUGGUGGGGGUUGGAAAGUUUCGGCGGUUGGGGAUGGACUCGCGGCUUAUCAGCUUGUUGGUGGGGUAGUGGCUUACCAAGGCUUUGACGGGUAGCCGGCCUGAGAGGGUGACCGGCCACAUUGGGACUGAGAUACGGCCCGGACUCCUACGGGAGGCAGCAGUGGGGGAUGUUGCACAAUGGGCGGAAGCCUGAUGCAGCAACGCCGCGUGCGGGAUGACGGCCUUCGGGUUGUAAACCGCUUUCGCCUGUGACUAAGCGUGAGUGACGGUAAUGGGUAAAGAAGCACCGGCUAACUACGUG
rnacentral:rRNA from 1 species